rnacentral:rRNA from 1 species
GACAGAGGGGGCAAGCGUUGCUCGGAAUUACUGGGCGUAAAGGGCGCGUAGGCGGGAUGGCAAGUCGGUCGUGAAAUCCCUCGGCUCAACUGAGGAGCGUCGAUCGAAACUGCCGUUCUUGAGGGUUGCAGAGGAGACUGGAAUUCCCGGUGUAGCGGUGAAAUGUGUAGAGAUCGGGAGGAACACCGGUGGCGAAGGCGGGUCUCUGGGCCGGUCCUGACGCUGAGACGCGAAGGCGUGGGGAGCGAACGGG